AUUGAACGCUGGCGGCAGGCCUAACACAUGCAAGUCGAGCGGAUGAAGGGAGCUUGCUCCUGGAUUCAGCGGCGGACGGGUGAGUAAUGCCUAGGAAUCUGCCUGGUAGUGGGGGAUAACGUCCGGAAACGGGCGCUAAUACCGCAUACGUCCUGAGGGAGAAAGUGGGGGAUCUUCGGACCUCACGCUAUCAGAUGAGCCUAGGUCGGAUUAGCUAGUUGGUGGGGUAAAGGCCUACCAAGGCGACGAUCCGUAACUGGUCUGAGAGGAUGAUCAGUCAUACUGGAACUGAGACACGGUCCAGACUACUACGGGAGGCAGCAGUGGGGAAUAUUGGACAAUGGGCGAAAGCCUGAUCCAGCCAUGCCGCGUGUGUGAAGAAGGUCUUCGGAUUGUAAAGCACUUUAAGUUGGGAGGAAGGGCAGUAAGUUAAUACCUUGCUGUUUUGACGUUACCAACAGAAUAAGCACCGGCUAACUUCGUG
rnacentral:rRNA from 1 species